rnacentral:rRNA from 1 species
GACAGAGGGGGCAAGCGUUGCUCGGAAUUACUGGGCGUAAAGGGCGCGCAGGCGGUCUUCCAAGUCAGUGGUGAAAGCCCGGAGCUCAAAUCCGGAACUGCCAUUGAAACUGUUAGACUUGAGGAUGAGAGAGGUGAGUGGAAUUCCCAGUGUAGAGGUGAAAUUCGUAGAUAUUGAGAAGAACACCGGUGGCGAAGGCGGCUCACUGGCUCAUUACUGACGCUCAGGCGCGAUAGCGUGGGGAUCAAACAGG